GUGGGGAAUCUUAGACAAUGGGCGCAAGCCUGAUCUAGCCAUGUCGCGUGAGUGAUGAAGGCCCUAGGGUUGUAAAGCUCUUUCAGCUGGGAAGAUAAUGACGGUACCAGCAGAAGAAGCCCCGGCUAACUCCGUGCCAGCAGCCGCGGUAAUACGGAGGGGGCUAGCGUUGUUCGGAAUUACUGGGCGUAAAGCGCGCGUAGGCGGACUGAAAAGUUGGGGGUGAAAUCCCGGGGCUCAACCUCGGAACUGCCUUCAAAACUAUCAGUCUGGAGUUCGGGAGAGGUGAGUGGAAUUCCGAGUGUAGAGGUGAAAUUCGUAGAUAUUCGGAGGAACACCAGUGGCGAAGGCGGCUCACUGGCUCGAUACUGACGCUGAGGUGCGAAAGCGUGGGGAGCAAACAGGAUUAGAUACCCGAGUAGUCC
rnacentral:rRNA from 1 species